AUUGAACGCUGGCGGCAUGCCUUACACAUGCAAGUCGAACGGCAGCAUGGAGAGCUUGCUCUCUGAUGGCGAGUGGCGAACGGGUGAGUAAUGCAUCGGAACGUACCGUGUAAUGGGGGAUAACGUAGCGAAAGUUACGCUAAUACCGCAUACGACCUGAGGGUGAAAGCAGGGGAUCGCAAGACCUUGCGUUAUACGAGCGGCCGAUGUCAGAGUAGCUAGUUGGGGGGGUAAAGGCUCACCAAGGCGAGGAUCUGGAGCGGGUCUGAGAGGAUGAUCCGCCAGACUGGGACUGGGACACGGCCCAGACUCCUAGGGGAGGCAGCAGUGGGAAAUUUUGGACAAUGGGGGAAACCCUGAUCCAGCCAUGCCGCGUGAGUGAAGAAGGCCUUCGGGUUGUAAAGCUCUUUCGGCCGGGAAGAAAUCGCACAGGCUAAUACUCGGUGUGGAUGACGGUACCUGAAGAAUAAGCACCGGCUAACUACGUGCCAGCAGCCGCAGUAA
rnacentral:rRNA from 1 species